UUAAAUUGAAGAGUUUGAUCAUGGCUCAGAUUGAACGCUGGCGGCAGGCCUAACACAUGCAAGUCGAACGGUAACAGGAAGCAGCUUGCUGCUUCGCUGACGAGUGGCGGACGGGUGAGUAAUGUCUGGGAAACUGCCUGAUGGAGGGGGAUAACUACUGGAAACGGUAGCUAAUACCGCAUAACGUCGCAAGACCAAAGAGGGGGACCUUCGGGCCUCUUGCCAUCGGAUGUGCCCAGAUGGGAUUAGCUAGUAGGUGGGGUAACGG
rnacentral:rRNA from 1 species